AGAUGAUGUGGAAGGAAAGUGGAAGUUCCCAGUUCAAAAAGAAUCCUAGGGCAGAUCACAUUCCUCAAAAGAAUUAAGUUAAUAUCUAAUCGACUUCCUAAUUUCUAUAUGUGUUUCUCAAGGUCUUCUCAACACACAACUUCACAUUCAUAGGGUGAGAUGGUAUGACACUCGAGCGUAUUUGAGACAUAAUUCCAUUAACCUCUUGCUGGGCUCACCUGCCUUCAACCAGUGAGGAACAUCAAGAGAUCAGAGAUUAGCUGAACUCAGCUUUAACCCUUCAAAGAAACUGUGUAGCUCCAGGAAGAAAAGUUAUUUAAAUGAUACUCCCAAAGAAAAGGCAGAGGAAAGGUGCUCCUGUGUAAUUUUUCCUAGUAAGUCCAAGGCCUGCGGUAAAGUGGGUCAUUGAAGAGAAUUAUUAAAUCAACAAAGUUUGCUCCUUUAUGUGAAUCCCUAGGAAGGAGCGUCAAAGAGGAUAAAGAGGGAAUUUUUUUCAGAGACAAUUUCCUAUGGAAGCAGAGUACUUAAUAUUUCAUGUAAAAACAUCAUCAACGUAUGAAUAUGUUAAAGGUAAAGAAGAUUAUGGUUAACAGACUUUAAACAGAAGACCAAAAUUACAGAUUUCAAAUUGGAAACAGACUCGUGGUCGUGUUCCUGAGAGGCCCCUGGAACUCUCAGUAGCCCUCUUCUACCCAGUACAGCGAAAUCGGGACUUUAAAACAGAAGGACCCGAGAUUUCGCGCGGCGGGCAAAACAUCUCAUCCUUGAUCGGGACGCGCCAGCCUUACCCUGACAGCUCCUCGGGUAUCCUUCCCGCCCCAACUCAGGUCGAUCUUUUUCCAAGGUGGUUUGAAAUACUCCAAUAAAAAACAAUUCCCACCACCUUGAGUGCAAAAGGGGGCGUGGGCAUUAGAAGCCUAGUCC
ensembl:lncRNA